ensembl:snRNA U6 U6 spliceosomal RNA
AUGCUCGCUUCAGCAGCACAUAUACUGAAAUUGGAAUGCUACAGAGAAGAUUGGCAUGACUUCUGUGCAAGGAUGAUCUGCAAAUUUGUGAAGCAUUUCAUAUUUUU